GGCGGCGGACGGAAGGGGCGGCUCUCGUCGGGCUCAUAACCCGAAGGUCGUAGGUUCAAAUCCUACCCCCGCUA
rnacentral:tRNA from 1 species